rnacentral:lncRNA from 1 species
CAGCAGAUGUUUUAUUAAUGAAGAUUGAAGGGAUUACAUGUUACAGAUAAUGAAAAUUAAGUUGGCCUAGUCUAUAAUGUCAUAACAAAAUUUUACUAUCCCUAGAGACAGAUGUAGAAUCACAAAUCGCAAUUUGAGAUUGUUUACUCACAUCAAUUUCGUUAAAGUAGUACAGCCCUUUACACUCUUUAGCACUACCAAUCGUCUUCUCCGAUGAAAAGUCCUGAAACACACAUUGAGACAGAAGAAAUUCUGCAGGGCAAGUAGAAUCUUUGGUUAAUUUACUAAUAGAUAACAAAUUACAAAACAACUUUGGAACUUGCAAGACAGAUUUUAGUAUUAUAAAGUUAGAUAUUUUGACACUCCCUUUUCCUGCAAUAGAUAAGAGAAAGCAGUCUACAAUUUUUACUUUGAUAUUGCCAGCACAGGGUGAGUACGAAGAAAAAAGAUGGUAUGAGUCCGUCAUGUAAUCGGAUGCAGCUGAGUAAAUGAUCCAGUGGGUUUUAAAUUUCGAGACUGUAUAUAAAGCUUUUAAAAAAUUACCUUUAGGGACUAGGGAGCUGGAAGAACUACUGGUAGAGUGCUGACAAAAUUUUGGAAAAUAGAAACUAUUUAAUAGAGUUAUUUUAGUUGUUCAGGGUUGAAAGCACCAUUUUAAGUAAGAUUAAUUUUUGUCUCUGCUUGGUAUCCCUUGCUUCUAAUGUUUUGUUUUGGCUUCCAAUCGACGAGUUUCCCGUGUAAGUCCCAACAGGUAUUCUCUUUGUGUCCCGAUUUAUGAUAGUGUUCACAUCAUGGCCUACCACGCUGCUGUUUUUGGCCAGACCCGCUUAUCUUUCCCUUAGAUGACAAACCCAAGGUUUAAAGCCCAUUAAUUAUUUUUGACCCAUUACCUCUCCCAUCCGUUGGCCCAAAAGAAAUUUCCUUUCCACUAACUGGGCUAUUACUUGCAGGCCUAAACAUCCUCUCUAUUGCGGGCACAAAUCUCCUCCCUGCAGCUAGUCCAUUGCUCUUUGAAGACAACAGGGCUGACGCUUCACUUGGGCUGUGGGAGUUUUCAUCCAAUAUUAUCUACCGUUGUGUCUUUUCUCGUCAAACCUCUGAGAAGACUUCGCGAAUGGAUGGAAGCGACCAUCAAUCCAGAAUUCGGCCUUUGACAUCAUCCAAUUCGCGAUUAAGUCCGACCAAGAAUUCAUAAACUCUUUCAUUCUCGAUUCUCUUCUUAUACAGAGCAGUCGUCGACGCAUCUCUACUCUUUAUCGUUGCUAAGGUCAAAUUCCUACCACAGAGAUGUCAUCUCCAUGAAGUAGUCUGUCACAUCCCUUGCACUUUGCCUUGCUUGCCAUAAUCUUGUAUUGAUUUUGAAGACAUGUGAAGCAUUUUCAGAGUCAAAAUAGGUCUCUCUCACGACUUCCAAACUUCCUUUGCAGUUGGAAAGAAUGAGUAAGACUUAUUUAUGGUGAGUUUCAUGGGAUUGACAAGCCAAGUAGUGACCAUGGAGUUCUCCAACAUCCACUUCUGCAGGAGGUUGGCUUCAGUCGGUUCUUCGUUUCGCUGGUAAGAUAACCAAGUUUCCCAUUUCCGUCAAUCACCAAUUUAACUGACUGGGCCGACUCACGAUAAUUUUCCUGUUGAACUUCUUGACUGAGUUGGAACGAGGAGUUUUCAAUCCCAUUAGAACCAAUUAUGGGAGAGUUUUCUGUUUCAACUUGAGGGGUGUCGAAGGUGACUGACCCCAUGUUGUUGACGGGAAAUUCUACCAAGAAUUGCUAGUUGUAUGAACCUAGCUCUAAUACCAUGAAAACUGAGGCUAGAAAUUCAAGUUUUCAUAUAUGUUUUUGAUAUAUGUCGCUAUACAUCUCUUUAUAUUAUAAUAAUACAACAAAGGAAGGAAAAUAAUCUCCUAAUUUUAGCAGAUUAUUGACCUGAAAAAGUUAACAAGACUGAUUAACAAAGUAAAUUCAAAUUCUUUCAUUGCAGAAACGGCCAUUAUUAAUGAAUCAACUUAAGCAUUAAAAUUCUUUCAUAGCAAUGCACUAACUUAACAUCACACCAAUUAAACAGAAAUCUCACUGCAUAUGGAUAACUUCCGAUAAAAAUCACUUCACCUCUUAUCCAAACUAUGCUAUUAUAGUAACAAUCCGGAAUUUUUCAAUUUUAAUUAAUGGGAAGGUUUAGGUAAAACUCCAUCUCUGCAAGUCCAGACUUUUCUACUACCACCGAAGCUACUACACCCAAUGGUAAUAUUGUCAAAGACGUUGAAGGAAAGGAUUCGUUGCCUGAAGGAACAAAGGCAAGGCUCUGUUCAAAUACAAUUUGUAUAGUCUCGUCUGAUCUGAUGGACUCAAAUUUUUUCGUCUAGUUUAUUUGAAAGAAAAAGUUGAACUCGUUGAUAGAGAAUCAUGUGUGGUUAAUUGAUCAAAAGAACUAGAAUUGGGUUCACAUGAAGUUUAUGAAUGUAUAGCAAAUCGUAAUGAACUUUUUCUCCAUGUUAGCGUAGAAGUGUAAUCACUUGAAAGAAAGUUUUCCCUCAUUAUUCAUAAAGGCCAUAUCCCUAUUAGGUGCUGAAAUGGGUCAGCCAUCCACUUGUACAAAAAAAGAAUUACACCUUACUUGACAGAAAAACAUACGACAUAAAGUCAUUAGCUCAUUUACACCCAAAAAAAAAAAAAAAAAAGGCUAUUGGCCGUUUUUCCACCAAUCAAAAUCUGCCAACUGAGAUCUGUCAACUGGGGUGGCCUUAUUUUUCUGUACAAAUGGCAUUAUUCGUACAUUUUCUGACCUUGGUUAAUGGUUACCCAUUUGUUUUGACCUUAAUGUUUGGCAAAUCUCUAAUAAUUCCUGCCACGAUUGCCUUUUUGACAGUGGAACGUGGGGAGGGACGUCAAAGAAAUCAUCAGACCCUAAUCCACUUAUGACUUUUGCUCAAGGGAUUAUCUCUGCAUUUGUGAAAUUUUGGACUGAAUAAGGUUUUUUAGUUCCUGCAUUUAGAAUCUGGUAGCAGUCGAGUCAUUUGCCAUAUUGUUCCGUACGAGAGAUUAUUUUGUUGAUGUGAU